rnacentral:lncRNA from 1 species
AGUGGCAACACAAUAGAAGAAACAUAAUGGAGUCAGGAGUGCCGAUGCAAAGGCAACACUCCCAACAACAACAACUGAACACACAGAAGCAAUUAGACCGUUCUGGAAAACAAAAUUAAUAAGCUCCAACGCAUAUAGCUUGAACACAUCACCACCGCAUACUGCAUGUUUGGGGCACUAGAGGCUGUGACACAGCCUGCACGGCUCCAACAAACCAACCCCCAAGAAGAAGAGAUGGACUCUCAUGAGAAUAUGAUACAUUCAGAUUUUGGGGAAGUGUUACCAAGGGAGAUGUAUUUGGCAGCCAAACACUGGGCAACUCAGGAAGAUUAAGCAGUACCGGGCAGGGGGACCACGAUGUGAAUGCCUUUGAUGAGAACAGCUGCAGCCUGCUGGCCAGUGUGAGCAUUGCCAACUGCCUUGAAGUGGUGCGCUUCCUCCAUUUCUUCCCACAAUUUCACCGCAAUAUGACAGAUCAUCUGGUCUGGGGGUACACCUCUCAUGCACGCUGCCAGGAUGGGACACAGGGAGGUGAUGGUGGAGCUACUCACAUAUCUAGACCCAGCUGACCUUGUGUGACCUGCCCUGACCUAGAAGCAGGACUUCAGUGACCUUGUCAACUACAAGUACAACUCCAGGGCACCACUUUUCCUGUGCAUUGGCCACUCUUGAGUGUCUUUUGGGGGUUGAGUGCGUAUUGAUUAGGCUUUUGGAGGUCCAGCGGCACACUGCACACUGCUUUCAUAAACGUGUGUGCAGAGUGGAAGACAGAGAGGGGCAAGGAUGGAGAAUGCUUCAACAUGCACAGCAUCAUUGGUUCAUGCUUUCUUUUUUGUGGAAAGUAGUGCACACAGUUUUAACCAAAGGAUUAUAUGUCAUCAUUCAUAUUCAUAGAUUUCAUGAUUUAACAUUGUGUUGACCUUUGUGCAUCAAAUCACUUCAUUACAUGUAAGCAUAUAUGUAGCUCCAAGGAGUAACAGUUUAUGAAAUUUGUAAUGUAUAAAAAGUGACAUAAGAGGUCUUGCAUUAUGAAGAUUUGUUUAAAGGUCUUUGUCUAUUAGCAUGAUCUAGUGCUGUCAGUCUUAAGAGUUCAGAUUGUACAGACAUGAACCAUUGUCCAUUGCACUUCCUGCAGAUGGAAUUUUAGUCAACACUGUAAGGUGUGUAGCUUUGUGGGCAGGUGUGCCAGUCAUUCCUUGAUAUCAAUGUUUUUCAUUUAAGGAAAAAAUUAUGUGUGUAAUUAGGUUUAUAUACAUUUUUGAUUGAGAAUGUUUAGAUUGAUUAAAUAGUAAGUUUCUCAACUUUAUAGACCUUUGCUGUGUAGGAGUUCAGGGGCCGUAUUCUAUAAACCGUCAUAGCUAAUGAUGUGAUCACAGUAAGACAAAAUGGUGCAUUUUAGACUAAGUCCCUCUAUGACAGGCUUUAACCUUGUGACUCGUCAUAAGUGCCAAGACAGGGUUCACCUUGUUGUAGCGCCGCCAACCACCAUCUUAAAAACUUUUGUCAACCAUAACACUUGUCUGUAGGUACCGUAGCAUGAUCCUCGACAGUUUUUAUUAUUAAUUAAUGAUAAAUAUCUGUAAUGAUGACUAAAUGAUGUCCUUCUUUGAUGCAGUAAGUUACCUUUAUAGAUAACUGCUAACAGGAGUACAAUCAGUUUCCCUCAAACUCAAAGAAACCUUGCCCUGCGUGGCCUGCAUGUGUCAUAUGUCGGGUGUAAUCUUCUGUUUGUCAUGUUUCUUUUGCCUGGAUACACUGUCUAACUAUUCAAAAUCAUUUAAAUUGUAGGAAAUUAUGACAAGGAGCUAUUUGUUUCUAAAAAUAUAUAAAGUUGACCAACAAUGGAGUGAUGGUUAGGCAUUCAGUGAGACGUUGCUAACUGUGUAGAAUGCGGCCCCAGAAUGAUGGUCUGUGUUUUUUGUAUUUAUGGUGACAGUAUAGUGUUGCAAGGGAGAACAUGCUGUUCGAGAGCAAUGCCAUUGUAAAAUGCUUAAAAAAUAAUUUUCAAAAGUUGAUAGUUCCUUGUAGACUUUUGCAAUGAAAAUGCUUUCAAAAUAUUACCCUUAUGUUCUUAAAGAUUAUGUGGUAUUAGACAAAUGUAUGGAUGGCAAUGAUAGGUGGAAUUAGGUAAACCUGUUCAUACAGAGACUGCUGCCAUGUAUGUGUAGGCCUUAUAAUAAUGAUAGGUGGAAUGAAAUAGACACAUUCAUACAGGGACUGCUGCCAUAUAUGUGGAGGCUUCAUGGUCCCUCUUGCAACUUUCCUCAUUUUAGUUUCUCUUAUACUUGAAAAUUGCAUGAAUUAUUCUAAGUUGAAAAUGAGUCAAAAAUUUUGGUAGAGUUUUCAGAGACAUUACAUAAAAAUGCGAUGUAAAAGUUGUAAUAAAUCGUACAAAUUGUGCUAUUCCACUGUAAGAAAUUAUUCUAAGUGGAAAAUUUCGCAGUUUUCAGAGAUGCUGUACAAAAAAUUGUGUACAAAUUCUGCUAUUCCACUAAAAAAUUAUUCUAAGUCGAAAAUUUUGGCAGAGUUUUCAGGUGUUGUACAAAAAAUUGUGUACAAAUUCUGCUGCUAUUCCACUGUAAAAAAUUCUAUUGUGUACAAAUUCUGCUAUUCCACUGAAAAAUUAUUCUAAGUCGAAAAUUUUGGCAGAGUUUUCAGAGAUGCUGUACAAAAAAUUGUGUACAAAUUCUGCUAUUCCACUGUAAAAGAUUAUUCUGUUGUGUACAAAUUCUGCUAUUCCACUGUAUUAAGUUGAAAAUUUUGGUAGAGUUUUCAGACUGUGUACACAAAGAUUGGUUGGAUAAAUAAAAUGGGAAGGGAAACUC